rnacentral:rRNA from 1 species
UACGGAGGAUGCAAGCGUUAUCCGGAUUUAUUGGGUUUAAAGGGUGCGUAGGCGGGAUAAUAAGUCAGUGGUGAAAGCCUGUAGCUCAACUAUAGAAAUGCCAUUGAUACUGUUGUUCUUGAGUACAGUUGAGGUAGGCGGAAUGUGUAAUGUAGCGGUGAAAUGCUUAGAUAUUACACAGAACACCGAUUGCGAAGGCAGCUUACUAAGCUGGUACUGACGCUGAGGCACGAAAGCGUGGGGAGCAAACAGG